AUAGUACGCCCUCUGUCCAAAAAAGUUUGUCCCUCGAAUGGACGUAUCUAGUAUCAAGUUAGUGCUACAUACAUCCAUUUGAGGAACAAGCUUGGGACAAGCUUUUUCGGACGGAGGGAGUAUAGA
rfam:Triticum urartu cultivar G1812 contig884708, whole genome shotgun sequence.